UACGUAGGGCGCAAGCGUUAUCCGGAAUUAUUGGGCGUAAAGAGCUCGUAGGCGGUCUGUCGCGUCGGAUGUGAAAACUCGGGGCUCAACCCCGAGCCUGCAUUCGAUACGGGCAGACUAGAGUUCGGUAGGGGAGACUGGAAUUCCUGGUGUAGCGGUGAAAUGCGCAGAUAUCAGGAGGAACACCGGUGGCGAAGGCGGGUCUCUGGGCCGAUACUGACGCUGAGGAGCGAAAGCGUGGGGAGCGAACAGG
rnacentral:rRNA from 1 species